rnacentral:misc_RNA from 1 species
AGAUCACCCAGCCCGUGGGGAUCAGCCACGUCGGGAGACCUCCAAGCUUUCAUGACAAGGCAUUUCCAAAGCCGACACAGGUUUACCAUAUGCCGACGAGAGGGGUCCCAGACCAACAACAGGUUAGGUCCCAGACCAUACUGUGCCAGGAAGCCCAGGGGUCCUCCCCGACACCACCCCGGCGAAUCCACAUGUCUCUCGGCAUCAAGGCUCCCCUGAUAAGCUAGUUACUCAGCCAGGGGUGUCCCAUUCCACCCAUGUGGUCGUACUUGUCUUAUGUUUGGAUGAAAUUCCAAGGAA